rnacentral:lncRNA from 1 species
CAUAAAGAUGAUGUACAAAUGUUUCAGCCGACAACAACACACUAGCAUGCGGGGACAUGGGAAUAAAAUCUGACGGUCGCCUAGACUUAUAAUUAUGAACAACUUCAAAUGGAUUUAGACCUACAGACCAAUUUACAAAAUUGUUAUAUACAAUUUGAACAAUUGGAAGGAUCAAAUUCCAAUUUCCCAGAGUUUCCUUACAAAGAGCAUGAUUACACAAAUCAUCAAUACUUUUGGGUGGUAUAAGAGUAGGACACACAACAUUUGACUGAGAGGUAUCAAGAAAAGGGGUACGAUACCUAGACUCAUAGAAAAAGUCCGAAUACUAUCGAAGGGGGUGUCCUCACUGUCAUCCAAUUCAUCAAAUUCUUCAAGUUUAGGUUCAUAGAUUUGAUUUUCUAAUCAUUCAUCUCUCAUAUUCUUUUGUUCUUCAAUGAAUAAGGCUUGAUUAGAUCAUUCAGAAGAAAUGUGGCCAAAGUCCUUAUAGUUGAAGCACUGUAAAUGAGAAGAAGUUAUUGAAGUUUCAAAAUCUUGACAUUUAUUGUCCAAUAGAAUAGGAGCAUUAGAUGGGAGAGGACCUAGAAGAGACUUAUCAGGAGAAGGUAGUGUUAAUAAGACGAAACGGAGAAUGUCACUAUGCCUUCAAUAUGAAGAAGAAGGUAUUGGGAUAUCAUGACCUUUACACUUAUUUUCCCAAAUGGGAGGAACAUUAGACGAGGAAGGCUCUAUGAUAGACUUAUGAUGAGGUGGCGCUAAUGACAUGGGAAAACGAUGGUGAUCACGCUUUUCAUAUAACGUACUAAUAGUCAAUUCAUAAUCUCUGGCUAAAGAAUAAGCGUGAUCAAGAGUAGUAACACCUCGAAAGAAAAGUUCACGCCUAAGAUCGUCUCUUAGACCUUGGCUAAACCUACUCAAAGUCGUGGUCUCAUCCUCAACGACAUGAUAUUUGGUUCGAAAUUACAAGGAAAUGGUUUUAUAAGUGCCUAUUUUAAUAUGUUGAAAGGCCUGUGGAAAGAGUUAUCAAACUAUAGGCCUUAGAGUCACAAUUCCUAUUGUGAGGAAUAGCACAUUUUAAUGGGAUUGGAUGACUGCUAUUCUUAUGUGCGUAGCCAGAUUUUGAUGAUGGAACCUCUGCCUAAACAAGGUUUUUGCAUUUGUUCAACAAGAUGAGAAAUGUCACAAGCUUUAUCUUGUUAUAACAAUCAAGGUUUUAAGAAUGACAGACCGAAAUGCAAUUACUAUGGUAUGCUUGGCCAUUUACAGGAGAAAUGUCACAAGCUUUAUGGAUAUAUCCUAGGCCAUAGGUUGGCAAAGGACAAGGCAAGGGGUCUACUCCAAAUGCUAAUCAAGUGAUUGGAUUCAUUACUUUUCCAAACAUGUCCAUUGUCUUCUCCAAUUUGACUAUCACACCAGAGCAAUGUUAGAAAGUUCUCAAUAUGCUGAAACCACAACUUUAGACUCACUUUUCCAAUCUAGUCACUCAUUCUGUAUUAUCACCAUUGUGCAUGUAAUAGGGAUUCGAAGGAUUUGUUACCAUUUGAUGAGCGGCAACAACAUGAUCUUCAUCGUGAUGAGCAUUCGACGAAGGAUUGUUAGUAGAACUUUCAUCUUGAGUCUCUGAAUUAGCAGUCAUGAACGGAAGUUCCUAUGUUCUCUGAUACCAUGAGAAAUCUGCUCCAAUGUAGAGAGAGAAAACUGUGCACAAACUCAGAGAGAAAACACGAUGAAAUAG